CGUAAGGGGUACCUGCGGAGGGAUCAUUACCGAGUUUACAACUCCCAAACCCCUGUGAACAUACCACUUGUUGCCUCGGCGGAUCAGCCCGCUCCCGGUAAAACGGGACGGCCCGCCAGAGGACCCCUAAACUCUGUUUCUAUAUGUAACUUCUGAGUAAAACUAUAAAUAAAUCAAAACUUUCAACAACGGAUCUCUUGGUUCUGGCAUCGAUGAAGAACGCAGCAAAAUGCGAUAAGUAAUGUGAAUUGCAGAAUUCAGUGAAUCAUCGAAUCUUUGAACGCACAUUGCGCCCGCCAGUAUUCUGGCGGGCAUGCCUGUUCGAGCGUCAUUUCAACCCUCAAGCACAGCUUGGUGUUGGGACUCGCGUUAAUUCGCGUUCCCCAAAUUGAUUGGCGGUCACGUCGAGCUUCCAUAGCGUAGUAGUAAAACCCUCGUUACUGGUAAUCGUCGCGGCCACGCCGUUAAACCCCAACUUCUGAAUGUUGACCUCGGAUCAGGUAGGAAUACCCGCUGAACUUAAGCAUAUCAAAAGCGGAAGGAAA
rnacentral:rRNA from 1 species